rnacentral:tRNA from 2 species
GCAGAUUAUAUGUCAUGGAUUUAAACCCCAUUCAUAAAGGUUAAUCCUUUUUUUAGAA